rnacentral:rRNA from 1 species
AGUUUGAUCCUGGCUCAGGAUGAACGCUAGCUACAGGCUUAACACAUGCAAGUCGAGGGGCAGCAUUUUAGUUUGCUUGCAAACUAAAGAUGGCGACCGGCGCACGGGUGAGUAACACGUAUCCAACCUGCCGAUAACUCGGGGAUAGCCUUUCGAAAGAAAGAUUAAUAUCCGAUAGUAUAUUAAAACCGCAUGGUUUUACUAUUAAAGAAUUUCGGUUAUCGAUGGGGAUGCGUUCCAUUAGUUUGUUGGCGGGGUAACGGCCCACCAAGACUACGAUGGAUAGGGGUUCUGAGAGGAAGGUCCCCCACAUUGGAACUGAGACACGGUCCAAAUCCUACGGGAGGCAGCAGUGAGGAAUAUUGGUCAAUGGACGAGAGUCUGAACCAGCCAAGUAGCGUGAAGGAUGACUGCCCUAUGGGUUGUAAACUUCUUUUAUAUGGGAAUAAAGUAUUCCACGUGUGGAAUUUUGUAUGUACCAUAUGAAUAAGGAUCGGCUAACUCCGUGCCAGCAGCCGCGGUAAUACGGAGGAUCCGAGCGUUAUCCGGAUUUAUUGGGUUUAAAGGGAGCGUAGGUGGAUUGUUAAGUCAGUUGUGAAAGUUUGCGGCUCAACCGUAAAAUUGCAGUUGAAACUGGCAGUCUUGAGUACAGUAGAGGUGGGCGGAAUUCGUGGUGUAGCGGUGAAAUGCUUAGAUAUCACGAAGAACUCCGAUUGCGAAGGCAGCUCACUAGACUGCAACUGACACUGAUGCUCGAAAGUGUGGGUAUCAAACAGGAUUAGAUACCCUGGUAGUCCACACAGUAAACGAUGAAUACUCGCUGUUUGCGAUAUACAGUAAGCGGCCAAGCGAAAGCAUUAAGUAUUCCACCUGGGGAGUACGCCGGCAACGGUGAAACUCAAAGGAAUUGACGGGGGCCCGCACAAGCGGAGGAACAUGUGGUUUAAUUCGAUGAUACGCGAGGAACCUUACCCGGGCUUAAAUUGCAAAUGAAUAAUCUGGAAACAGGUUAGCCGCAAGGCAUUUGUGAAGGUGCUGCAUGGUUGUCGUCAGCUCGUGCCGUGAGGUGUCGGCUUAAGUGCCAUAACGAGCGCAACCCUUAUCUUUAGUUACUAACAGGUCAUGCUGAGGACUCUAGAGAGACUGCCGUCGUAAGAUGUGAGGAAGGUGG